UCAGAAGAAGCUGGAAGAAGAUGUAGUAAACUUCCCAAGGCACACACAGGGCACUCGAGUGGAAGGAGGCACUGAACAACCAGCAAGAUGCGAUUUAGACGAGAAGCAAAAACAAACCCAGGCAGCAGCUCCGGAAGUUUCAGAACAGUUAAGACAGACUGGUUUUGCUUCAAUAAAAACUCAGAUGGAGCUCAGAAUUAGCAAUCUGGAAUCUGAGCUGAAAACUAAGAAAUACAACUAGAAAAAUAUAGACACUUCCAUAUAGAUGAAUCCAAGUUCCACAAAAUUUGAAUCUUGAUCCACUGGAGCUUCUGCUUUAAGAAUUACUAAUAAACCAAGACAAGAUCUAUUUUUGGAAACA
rnacentral:lncRNA from 1 species